AGAGUUUGAUCCUGGCUCAGGAUGAACGCUGGCGGUAUGCUUAACACAUGCAAGUCGAACGAUCCUUCGGGAUAGUGGCGGACGGGUGAGUAACACGUGAGUUAUCAACGCUUAGGUGAGGCAUAUCAAAUGGAAACGUUUGUUAAUUCCUCGUAAUACUAUUAAGUUAAAGAUUUUUCGCCUAAGCACGAGCUUGCGCCUGAUUAGCUUGUUGGUAGGGUAAUGGCUUACCAAGGCUUUGAUCAGUAGCUGGUCUGAGAAGAUGAACAGCCACACUGGAAUUUAGAACGGAACAGACUCCUACGGGAGGCAGCAGUGGGGAAUAUUUGGCAAUGAGCGAAAGCUUGACCAAGCAAUACCGCGUGGAGGAUGACUGCUUUAGGGUUGUAAACUCCUUUUCUGAUUGAGGAAAUUUUGACAGUAUUUCAGGAAUAAGCAUCGGCUAACUUCGUGCCAGCAGCCGCGGUAAUACGGGGGAUGCAAGCGUUAUCCGGAUUUAUUGGGCGUAAAGCGUUCGUAGAUGGUUAUUUAAGUUUAAUGUUAAAUUCUAAGGCUUAACCUUAACAAUGCAUUAAAAACUGAGUGACUUUAGUACAAUAGGGGUAAAGGGAAUUUCCAGUGUAGCGGUGAAAUGCGUAGAUAUUGGAAAGAACGCCUACAGCGAAAGCACUUUACUGGGUUGUUACUGAAAUUGAGGGACGAAAGCUAGGGGAGCAAACGGGAUUAGAUACCCCGGUAGUCCUAGCCGUAAACGAUGGAUACUAAGUGAUAUUCUAAUAUUGCUGUAGCUAACGCAUUAAGUAUCCCGCCUGGGAAGUACGCUUGCAAAAGUGAAACUCAAAGGAAUUGACGGGGGCCCGCACAAGCGGUGGAGCAUGUGGUUUAAUUCGAUGAUACACGAGAACCUUACCAGGACUUGACAGAUUGGUUAUUUUCUUGAAAGAGAAAUUCUCUUAGGAGUCCAAUCACAGGUGGUGCAUGGCUGUCGUCAGCUCGUGUCGUGAGAUGUUGGGUUAAGUCCCGCAACGAGCGCAACCCUUUUCUUUAGUUAGUUUUCUAGAGAUACUGCCGGUGAUAAACUGGAGGAAGGUGAGGAUGAGGUCAAGUCAGCAUGCCCCUUAUGUCCUGGGCUACACACGUGCUACAAUGGCUAAUACAAUGAGUUGCAAACUCGCGAGGGUAAGCUAAUCUCUUAAAAUUAGUCUUAGUUCGGAUUGUAGCCUGAAACUCGGCUACAUGAAGUUGGAAUCGCUAGUAAUCGCCGGUCAGAUAUACGGUGGUGAAUACGUUCUCGGGCCUUGUACACACCGCCCGUCACACCAUGGAAAUUAAUCGUAUCUGAAGUGGUUUCUUCGUUUCGUUUGAAACUACUAAGGUUGGGUCAGUAACUGGGGUGAAGUCGUAACAAGGUAGCCGUACUGGAAGGUGCGGCUGGAACAACU
rnacentral:rRNA from 1 species